AGGAGAUGCCCCUGGUGUUCCAGAGGGAAUUGGCCAUGGCUUUGGGGAGAGUGGUGCAGAUGCAACCCAGGUCUGACAGAUGUGUCAUGGUGACACGGGGGGCAUCGUGGAACCAAAGGAACCCUGAGGCAUUCCAGAAUCCCACGUGUGUUGGGUCUGAGCUGGAGUUCAUUUUCUCACUGCAGCCGUCACAGUGCUGUGCUUUGCAUUGGGAGCUACAAAGGGGUUAAUCACACCAGUGCUUUGACAACUGCUGAGCAGGGCUGGCACAGCAUCGGCAUUGUCAGCUUCCUCCCUUGAAUGGGGGGCAAGAUCAUGGGAGGGGAUAGAGACAGGCCAGUUGAGCCAAAGGGACCAAAGGGAGAUUGCAGAAUAUAUGGCGUCAGCUCAGCUACAAAAGCUCACAAAAGGAACAGGAAAGGGGGAAAAUCCAUUUUUUUACAAUACUUGCCUUCUGAGCGGCCUCUCUGUGUGGUGAAGCCCUGCUUUGCCUGAAGUGGUCAGGCAUGGCUGCUGACGGGAAGUAGAGAAUAAACCUCUUUAUUUUCCUCUUC